AUAACCUUCUUUUGGAACUCUAGCUAAAAAUCAUGUUUUAUUUUGGCCUCAUCUUGCAUUCUCUCUACAGGCAUGGAAACGCCAUAAAGUCACGCAUACCGAGGAAUGAUGGCCCUGCAGAUUCUUACUCGUGAUAUGGAAUCGUCAACCUGUCCUGAGGAACUAUAUAGUGAUCUAUAUCUUUUAAUUCAUCUUCAUGACAACCCUGUUAAUUGGUCAUCAGUUUCAUCCAUGAGGGAAGUGGCACCAAGAGUGUGCCCACCAUCACCUGUCGGGGAAAGGGCGUCCAGCAGGCAGCAUGGGGCACACCUCUCCCUGUGGCUCAGGUCACUGAAGAUCAGUUAACUACUUGGAAGAUACACUACAUUUCUCAGCAUAAUCUAUCCUGGUGGAGCUAAUGAAAAAGAACCCACUCUGGAAACCAUGAAGGAGUAAUAAUUGAAGAAACAGUGCCACUCAGGGAGGGGUGUGGUAAAGGGUUUAGGUUUAACGGAGUGGUGCCACGCAGAAACGACAUGGCCAUCACUCAAAUGCUGCUAUAUACACUGAGUUCCAUGCAACAGAAAGGGGAGUAUGAUGAAAUUAGGACUGGGAUCAAAAGGAUCAUUGUAUUUUACAAAUAAAAAUGCUUC
rnacentral:lncRNA from 1 species